UACUCAUUGGUGUAUCUCUACUGGGAACCU
rnacentral:piRNA from 1 species